UCUGCUGCGGCUGGAACACCUCCUUAGAGUUUCUGCUGCCGGAUCACGUCCUUAGACCAAAGAGGGGGACCUUCGGGCCUCUUGCCAUCGGAUGUGCCCAGAUGGGAUUAGCUAGUAGGUGGGGUAACGGCUCACCUAGGCGACGAUCCCUAGCUGGUCUGAGAGGAUGACCAGCCACACUGGAACUGAGACACGGUCCAGACUCCUACGGGAGGCAGCAGUGGGGAAUAUUGCACAAUGGGCGCAAGCCUGAUGCAGCCAUGCCGCGUGUAUGAAGAAGGCCUUCGGGUUGUAAAGUACUUUCAGCGGGGAGGAAGGGAGUAAAGUUAAUACCUUUGCUCAUUGACGUUACCCGCAGAAGAAGCACCGGCUAACUCCGUGCCAGCAGCCGCGGUAAUACGGAGGGUGCAAGCGUUAAUCGGAAUUACUGGGCGUAAAGCGCACGCAGGCGGUUUGUUAAGUCAGAUGUGAAAUCCCCGGGCUCAACCUGGGAACUGCAUCUGAUACUGGCAAGCUUGAGUCUCGUAGAGGGGGGUAGAAUUCCAGGUGUAGCGGUGAAAUGCGUAGAGAUCUGGAGGAAUACCGGUGGCGAAGGCGGCCCCCUGGACGAAGACUGACGCUCAGUGCGAAAGCGUG
rnacentral:rRNA from 1 species